rnacentral:rRNA from 1 species
AGCAGCCGCGGUAAUUCCAGCUCCAAUAGCGUAUAUUAAAGUUGUUGCAGUUAAAAAGCUCGUAGUUGAAUUUCGGGACUAAUAUGUCGGUCGUGCCUCGGUACGUACUGGCUUAUUGGUUUCUCCUUCUGAAGAACCUCGAUGUCAUUAAUUUGGUGUCUUGGGGAAUCAGGACUGUUGCUUUGAAAAAAUUAGAGUGUUUAAAGCAGGCUCGCGCUUGAAUACAUUAGCAUGGAAUAAUGAAAUAGGACGUUUGAUUCUAUUUUGUUGGUUUCUAGGAUCGACGUAAUGAUUAAUAGGGAUAGUUGGGGGCAUUAGUAUUCAAUUGUCAGAGGUGAAAUUCUUGGAUUUAUGAAGACUAACUACUGCGAAAGCAUUUGCCAAGGAUGUUUUCAUUAAUCAAGAACGAAAGUUAGGGGAUCGAAGACGAUCAGAUACCGUCGUAGUCUUAACCA